rnacentral:RNase_P_RNA from 1 species
AAAGCAAAUUGCUCUAUCGCUGUUCCGCUAUUAGCGGGAUGGAGGAAAGUCCGGGCAACAUAGAGCAUCCUGCUUCCUAACGGGAAGGCGCCCUUGUAAUAAAGGCGACAGAAAGUGCUACAGAAAACAAACCGCUUUAAGUCUUUGGGCUUUUAGUAAGGGUGAAAACGUGAGGUAAGAGCUCACGACUUUGCAUGGCGACAUGUAUCGUGGUAAACCUCAGGAGUUGAAAGGUCAAAUAAGUUUUGAAAGAGUUGCUCGCUCUGUGAUGUGAAAGCAUUGUCAAAAUGGGUAGACCGAUAGACCAUAAUAGCAAUAUUAUGGCAAGAUAAAUGGUAGAGACAUCUUGAAUUGUUUCAGGAUGACAGAACCCGGCUUACAAAUUUGCAUUAUUA